AUACUUACCUGGUAGGGGAAAUACAAUGAUCAAGAAGGUGGUUCAUCCAGGGCGAGGCUCAGCCAUUGCACUCCGGUGGUGCAGACCCCUGCGAAUUCCCCAAAUGUGGGACUGCAUUAUUUCUGGCAGUGGGGAACUGCGUUCACGCUCUUCCCUG